CGCGGUAAUACGUAGNUCCCGAGCGUUGUCCGGAUUUAUUGGGCGUAAAGCGAGCGCAGGCGGUUAGAUAAGUNUGAAGUUAAAGGCUGUGGCUUAACCAUAGUACGCUUUGGAAACUGUUUAACUUGAGUGCAGAAGGGGAGAGUGGAAUUCCAUGUGUAGCGGUGAAAUGCGUAGAUAUAUGGAGGAACACCGGUGGCGAAAGCGGCUCUCUGGUCUGUAACUGACGCUGAGGCUCGAAAGCGUGGGGAGCGAACAGGAUUAGAUACCCUGGUAGUCCACGCCGUAAACGAUGAGUGCUAGGUGUUAGGCCCUUUCCGGGGCUUAGUGCCGCAGCUAACGCAUUAAGCACUCCGCCUGGGGAGUACGACCGCAAGGUUGAAACUCAAAGGAAUUGACGGGGGCCCGCACAAGCGGUGGAGCAUGUGGUUUAAUUCGAAGCAACGCGAAGAACCUUACCAGGUCUUGACAUCCCGAUGCCCGCUCUAGAGAUAGAGUUUUACUUCGGUACAUCGGUGACAGGUGGUGCAUGGUUGUCGUCAGCUCGUGUCGUGAGAUGUUGGGUUAAGUCCCGCAACGAGCGCAACCCCUAUUGUUAGUUGCCAUCAUUAAGUUGGGCACUCUAGCGAGACUGCCGGUAAUAAACCGGAGGAAGGUGGGGAUGACGUCAAAUCAUCAUGCCCCUUAUGACCUGGGCUACACACGUGCUACAAUGGCUGGUACAACGAGUCGCAAGUCGGUGACGACAAGCUAAUCUCUUAAAGCCAGUCUCAGUUCGGAUUGUAGGCUGCAACUCGCCUACAUGAAGUCGGAAUCGCUAGUAAUCGCGGAUCAGCACGCCGCGGUGAAUACGUUCCCGGGCCUUGUACACACCGCCCGUCACACCACGAGAGUUUGUAACACCCGAAGUC
rnacentral:rRNA from 1 species